rnacentral:rRNA from 1 species
UACGGGGGGGGCAAGCGUUGUUCGGAAUUACUGGGCGUAAAGGGUUCGUAGGUGGCCAACUCAGUCAGACGUGAAAUCCCUCAGCUCAACUGGGGAACUGCGUCUGAUACUAGAUGGCUUGAGUGCAGGAGAGGAACGCGGAAUUCCAGGUGUAGCGGUGAAAUGCGUAGAUAUCUGGAGGAACACCGGUGGCGAAGGCGGCGUUCUGGACUGCAACUGACACUGAGGAACGAAAGCCAGGGGAGCAAACGGG